UGCAAGUCGAGCGGAACGAGUUAUCUGAACCUUCGGGGAACGAUAACGGCGUCGAGCGGCGGACGGGUGAGUAAUGCCUAGGAAAUUGCCCUGAUGUGGGGGAUAACCAUUGGAAACGAUGGCUAAUACCGCAUGAUGCCUACGGGCCAAAGAGGGGGACCUUCGGGCCUCUCGCGUCAGGAUAUGCCUAGGUGGGAUUAGCUAGUUGGUGAGGUAAGGGCUCACCAAGGCGACGAUCCCUAGCUGGUCUGAGAGGAUGAUCAGCCACACUGGAACUGAGACACGGUCCAGACUCCUACGGGAGGCAGCAGUGGGGAAUAUUGCACAAUGGGCGCAAGCCUGAUGCAGCCAUGCCGCGUGUGUGAAGAAGGCCUUCGGGUUGUAAAGYACUUUCAGUCGUGAGGAAGGUGGUGUCGUUAAUAGCUGCAUUGUUUGACGUUAGCGACAGAAGAAGCACCGGCUAACUCCGUGCCAGCAGCCGCGGUAAUACGGAGGGUGCGAGCGUUAAUCGGAAUUACUGGGCGUAAAGCGCAUGCAGGUGGUUUGUUAAGUCAGAUGUGAAAGCCCGGGGCUCAACCUCGGAAUAGCAUUUGAAACUGGCAGACUAGAGUACUGUAGAGGGGGGUAGAAUUUCAGGUGUAGCGGUGAAAUGCGUAGAGAUCUGAAGGAAUACCGGUGGCGAAGGCGGCCCCCUGGACAGAUACUGACACUCAGAUGCGAAAGCGUGGGGAG
rnacentral:rRNA from 1 species